rnacentral:rRNA from 1 species
GUGUCAGCAGCCGCGGUAAGACGUAGGGCGCAAGCGUUGUCCGGAUUUAUUGGGCGUAAAGAGCUCGUAGGCGGCCUGUCGCGUCGACCGUGAAAACCCGCAGCUCAACUGCGGGCUUGCGGUCGAUACGGGCAGGCUGGAGUUCGGUAGGGGAGACUGGAAUUCCUGGUGUAGCGGUGAAAUGCGCAGAUAUCAGGAGGAACACCGGUGGCGAAGGCGGGUCUCUGGGCCGAUACUGACGCUGAGGAGCGAAAGCGUGGGGAGCGAACAGGAUUAGAAACCCUGGUAGUCC